rnacentral:rRNA from 1 species
CCUACGGGUGGCAGCAGUGAGGAAUAUUGGUCAAUGGACGAGAGUCUGAACCUGCCAAGUAGCGUGAAGGAUUACUGCCCUAUGGGUUGUAAACUUCUUUUAUAAAGGAAUAAAACGAGGCACGUGUGCCUUUUUGCAUGUACUUUAUUAAUAAGGAUCGGCUAACUCCGUGCCAGCAGCCGCGGUAAUCCGGAGGAUCCGAGCGUUUUCCGGAUUUAUUGGGUUUAAAGGUAGCGUAGAUGGGUUGUUAAGUCAGUUGUGAAAGUUUGCGGCUCAACCGUAAAAUUGCAAUUGAUACUGGCAGUCUUGAGUACAGUUGAGGUAGGCGGAAUUCGUGGUGUAGCGGUGAAAUGCGUAGAUAUCACGAAGAACCCCGAUUGCGAAGGCAGCUUACUAAACUGUGACUGACAUUGAUGCUCGAAAGUGUGGGUAGCAAACAGGAUUAGAUACCCUUGUAGUC